AGAGUGACUCCCAUGAAGUCACCCAGCUGGUUUUCAUGGCUAAGAUGUGACUUAAACUCAAGGUCUCCUGCUUUUUAGC